ensembl:ncRNA C25B8.12 ncRNA
UUGAAUAAAUUUAAGAAUGAAAAUUUUCCAGCUUAAUUGUAGACGCGAAAAUUAAAAAGAUUUUGAUUUCAGAAAUGGAGUUGAGCGCAAAAUUUGGAUUAGGUGUAAAUGAUUAAAGUGUUUUCUAGUAUCAAUUUAACUUUUCAUGGU